UGCUUCUCUUGAGAGCGGCGGACGGGUGAGGUAAUGCCUAGGAAUCUGCCUGGUAGUGGGGGAUAACGUCCGGAAACGGACGCUAAUACCGCAUACGUCCUACGGGAGAAAGCAGGGGACCUUCGGGCCUUGCGCUAUCAGAUGAGCCUAGGUCGGAUUAGCUAGUUGGUGGGGUAAUGGCUCACCAAGGCGACGAUCCGUAACUGGUCUGAGAGGAUGAUCAGUCACACUGGAACUGAGACACGGUCCAGACUCCUACGGGAGGCAGCAUUGGGGAAUAUUGGACAAUGGGCGAAAGCCUGAUCCAGCCAUGCCGCGUGUGUGAAGAAGGUCUUCGGAUUGUAAAGCACUUUAAGUUGGGAGGAAGGGC
rnacentral:rRNA from 1 species